rnacentral:rRNA from 1 species
GAUGAACGCUGGCGGCGUGCCUAAUACAUGCAAGUCGAACGAAACUUCUUUAUCACCGAGUGCUUGCACUCACCGAUAAAGAGUUGAGUGGCGAACGGGUGAGUAACACGUGGGCAACCUGCCCAAAAGAGGGGGAUAACACUUGGAAACAGGUGCUAAUACCGCAUAACCAUAGUUACCGCAUGGUAACUAUGUAAAAGGUGGCUAUACUACCGCUUUUGGAUGGGCCCGCGGCGCAUUAGCUAGUUGGUAGGGUAAAGGCUUACCAAGGCAAUGAUGCGUAGCCGAAUUGAGAGGUUGAUCGGCCACAUUGGGGCUGAGACACGGCCCAAACUCCUACGGGAGGCAGCAGUAGGGAAUCUUCCACAAUGGGCGAAAGCCUGAUGGAGCAACGCCGCGUGGGUGAAGAAGGUCUUCGGAUCGUAAAACCCUGUUGUUAGAGAAGAAAGUGCGUGAGAGUAACUGUUCACGUUUCGACGGUAUCUAACCAGAAAGCCACUGCUAACUACGUG